UGGGGAAUUUUGGACAAUGGGCGAAAGCCUGACCCAGCAAUGCCGCGUGUGUGAAGAAGGCCUUCGGGUUGUAAAGCACUUUUGUCCGGAAAGAAAUCCUUGGCUCUAAUACAGUCGGGGGAUGACGGUACCGGAAGAAUAAGCACCGGCUAACUACGUGCCAGCAGCCGCGGUAAUACGUAGGGUGCAAGCGUUAAUCGGAAUUACUGGGCGUAAAGCGUGCGCAGGCGGUUUGCUAAGACCGAUGUGAAAUCCCCGGGCUCAACCUGGGAACUGCAUUGGUGACUGGCAGGCUAGAGUAUGGCAGAGGGGGGUAGAAUUCCACGUGUAGCAGUGAAAUGCGUAGAGAUGUGGAGGAAUACCGAUGGCGAAGGCAGCCCCCUGGGCCAAUACUGACGCUCAUGCACGAAAGCGUGGGGAGCAAACAGGAUUAGAUACCCUGGUAGUCCACGCCCUAAACGAUGUCAACUAGUUGUUGGGGAUUCAUUUCCUUAGUAACGUAGCUAACGCGUGAAGUUGACCGCCUGGGGAGUACGGUCGCAAGAUUAAAACUCAAAGGAAUUGACGGGGUCAUAGCUGUUUCU
rnacentral:rRNA from 1 species